GAGUUUGAUCGUGGCUCAGAUUGAACGCUGGCGGCAUGCCUUACACAUGCAAGUCGAACGGCAGCAUGAUCUAGCUUGCUAGAUUGAUGGCGAGUGGCGAACGGGUGAGUAAUACAUCGGAACGUGCCCUGUAGUGGGGGAUAACUAGUCGAAAGAUUAGCUAAUACCGCAUACGACCUGAGGGUGAAAGCGGGGGACCGCAAGGCCUCAUGCUAUAGGAGCGGCCGAUGUCUGAUUAGCUAGUUGGUGGGGUAAAGGCCCACCAAGGCGACGAUCAGUAGCUGGUCUGAGAGGACGAUCAGCCACGCUGGGACUGAGACACGGCCCAGACUCCUACGGGAGGCAGCAGUGGGGAAUUUUGGACAAUGGGCGAAAGCCUGAUCCAGCAAUGCCGCGUGUGUGAAGAAGGCCUCGG
rnacentral:rRNA from 1 species